CUGUUGCCUUCGCAGAUG
rnacentral:misc_RNA from 1 species